rnacentral:rRNA from 1 species
AUUGAACGCUGGCGGCAGGCCUAACACAUGCAAGUCGAGCGAGCGGCGGACGGGUGAGUAAUGUAUGGGGACUGCCCGAUAGAGGGGGAUAACUACUGGAAAAGGUGGCGCAUACCGCAUACUGUCGGAUAACCCAUAUGGGAUUAGCGAGUAGGUAAGGUAAUGGCGUACCGAGGCGACGAUCCCUAGCUGGUCUGUGAGGAUGAUCAGCCCCACUGUGACUGCGACACGGCCCAUACUCCUACGGAGGCAGCAGUGGGGAAUAUUGCACUAUGGGCGCCAGCCUGAUGCAGCCAUGCCUCGUGUAUGAAGAAGGCCUUAGGGUUGUAAAGUACUUUAAGUCGGGAAGCGUUACCGCCAGAAGAAGCACCGGCUAACUCCGUGCCAGCAGCCGCGGUAAUUC